rnacentral:snRNA from 1 species
GAACCAUAAUAAUAAAUAAUUGACUUAACUAUAUAUUUAGCUGUAUAGCUAUUGAAGAAUUUUCCUUCCCUUAAUUAAUCAAACAUAAAAAUCUUUCUCUUUUCUUUACUUUA